CAUGUAGGCGGAUUAAUAAGUUUGAAGUGAAAUCCUAUAGCUUAACUAUAGAACUGCUUUGAAAACUGUUAAUCUAGAAUGUGGGAGAGGUAGAUGGAAUUUCUGGUGUAGGGGUAAAAUCCGUAGAGAUCAGAAGGAAUACCGAUUGCGAAGGCGAUCUACUGGAACAUUAUUGACGCUGAGAUACGAAAGCGUGGGGAGCAAGCA
rnacentral:rRNA from 1 species